CUUUGCUUGCUGGAUGUGUAUCACUCUCAAGCUUGGCAAACGAAUUGAAAUGGAAGGAUGGUGGAUUGAGGACGCCACAAGACUCUAUGGAAAGGAGGCUUGAUAAGUCAAGAUGCUCUAGUGCUGCUUCACACACACACAAAAGACUUAGAACAAUAGUUUUGACAAAACUAGAAAAACUGAAUAAUUCUUAUUACUUUCAAAAAAUGGGGUGAUUUACAUUGAAGCAAAGACUAGAGCUUUAUAGGCUCGACUAAGAAAGACUCUAACAGUCAUAAAAUGAUAAAGGAAACAAAAUAACUUGAACUUAAAGUCUUGGGAGCAAAGGCUUUGAUGGCUCCAUGGAAUAUAGCUGUUAGGCUUGAUUUGCUUCCUUCCAAAAGAGAAACUUGUGAAGACUUGUAUCUUGAUAGCUUCUGGACGUGGCCAUGAUCUUCAACCUUUCCUGAAAUACUCCUUGGCCUCAAUAAAAGAGAAUAUGGCCGUUGGUCUUGGGCAAAAAUCUGUAGAGACAUCUUCGAAGCAUUUAGUGUAGUUGCUGCCAAAUAUGGAAGGUUGAUGGGAAGAGAGAUCCGCCUGAUCUCCUGGGUGAUGGUGCAGCUGAGGGCUUCUUGGAUGUCUUCUGUAUGGUUGAUAUGAUCUCCUGGCUUCCAUGAAUAAUUCUGGGUCGAACCA
rnacentral:lncRNA from 1 species